rnacentral:lncRNA from 1 species
UUUAAAAGAAGUUUAUCAGCGACUUGCGGAUUAUUCCGGAAAUACUUCCAGAGAUUCCGCAAGUUACAGAAUCUCCGAAGAAAUCUCCGGAAUCUCCGAAAAUAGGAGACACACGCCUUAAGCAGCGAAAUAAAACUAUCUACCUAAAAAUUGAAACUUCCGGUCUCAUUUUAUUUAGAGACCAACUAAUAUUCCAAUACCAUCAUGUUUUUAUUUUUACUUCAAUUUGCUUGUCAC